rnacentral:tRNA from 1 species
UAAUAGAUGGUGUAAGACAGACAUAUACGAUUUCGGCUCGUAAGGUGCUCGGGGUAGCUCUAUUUU